rnacentral:rRNA from 1 species
GACAGAGGGUGCAAACGUUGUUCGGAAUUACUGGGCGUAAAGCGAGUGUAGGCGGUCUGAAAAGUCAGGUGUGAAAGCCCUGGGCUCAACCCAGGAAGUGCACUUGAAACUGCCAGGCUAGAGUAUCGGAGAGGUUGGUGGAAUUCUCGGUGUAGAGGUGAAAUUCGUAGAUAUCGAGAGGAACACCGGUGGCGAAGGCGGCCAACUGGACGAAUACUGACGCUGAGGUGCGAAAGCGUGGGGAGCAAACAGG